AAAUGUAUUCUUUGGUUUUAAUGCAGAUUCAGAAACAAUUCGGCUUCCGUAUGAAGAAGGAGAAUUGCUUGAAUAUUUGGAUGCCGAAGAACUUCCGCCUAUUUUAGUUGACCUUCUGGAAAAAUCCCAGAUCAACAUUUUUCAUUGUGGAUGUGUCAUAACAGAAAUACGUGACUAUAGACAGUCUGGUAAUCUGAAAUCUCCAGCAUACCAAAGCAAGCACAUUCUUUUACGCCCAACCAUGCAAACUUUGGUUUGUGAUGUUCAUUCCAUUACAAGU